UCGCGCUUGUCGCACUCCCGUUUUCACAUGCACAGACAUCACACAUCGCUCCUCUUCCUCUGCGUGUACACUCGCACGAAACAGCAACAUCGAUAGCUACACCGAGGCCCAUCGCCCUGAUCCCCACACAAAAGGAGGGGGGAGAGAAAAAGGAGUGCGCACAGAGAGACAUAUACAUACACCGGCGCUCAACGGCUACGUCGCGCCUGCACUCUCGGGUGGGUGGGGUGGGGUGGCCGAAUAGACGCGUGCGCACGGCUCGCGCCGUGUGAUAGAUCCACACAUACACAUAGGCCUAACUCCACUCAUAUUAGAACUCUCUCUUUUUCGUGUGCAUGUGUGUGUGUGUGGUUUCCUUGACACCGCUUUUACUAUUUCCUUGUGCACACAUAGAGAGGUGACGAGGUUGGGCAGGGCAAGUGAAGGAUCACGCACACGCGCUCCUCUUCCUCCUCGUCAGCGUCGUCUUUUCGCGAAGGCGUUGCACACCGCUGAGCCAAGUUCUUUUUUCGCGUGCUCUUGCAUGCGCGAGUCUCGCUUCUGCAGAAAUAGAAAAGCGGUCCGCAAGAGACGCAAGCGACAACGGGCCUUGUUGCCUCCGGGGAGGGGAGGAGGGAGGUCUCGCUCCACCAAGCACGUGUGGUCUCUCUCCUCUAUCGAGGGGCGUUUCUUCUGAUUCCUUUGUUAACGUUUGUGCUGCUGUGCUGCUCUGAGCAAGAUGCACCACGGCUCUUCGCAGCCGAGGCGUGUCACUGAUGACGCCGGCAGCUGCUGCUCAGAUCUCCGCGAGAUGAACGAGGCGAAAGUAGCCAACAUCCUUUCCUACCUUGACAGUGCUGCCGCGACGCAGUGCGAAGCGCGAAGCGUGCGAGACUGCACACUCGCGACCAGCUUCUCGAGCGCUGUGCCGCUCACAUCGUCGGUGCUGCAGCACGUCACGGCCAGCACCCCCGCGCCAUCAUCCAUAAAUGCCUCGCCGAACGAUACCCCGACGCACCGCCACGCGCCGCCGGGACGGUCCACGUCGCCUCCGUCCGUUGGUGUGCCAGCGAUGUCGGUGUCGUGGAUCACCGGUGGCGGCGCCGAGUCUGCCCAGAACACAUACCUUGGCAUCAAAAAGCGCAUUGAGGGGAUGCAGUUCGAGAAUGAGCAGCUUCGCCGGGACAAUGCAGAGCUUCGCAGCCGCCUCCAGCAGUGGCGUGCCGAGGAGGCAAACCGAAAGGAGGAGAUGCGCGAAGCUGUGCAGGGCGAGGUUGACGAGCUACGCAACUCGCAUGUGCAAGAACGCAAGCGCGCCAAGGCGGAGAAAGAAAAACUGGAAAAGGCGAAGGAGGAGCUGACGCGCCAAGUGGACACGCUUACGGUGAGGCUGCGCGAAGAGGCAGCGAAACACGCCGAAGAUGUUCGACGUCUAGAAGGGACACAUGCAGCGGCCCUCUCGUCUCUGCGUACCAAGUGGGCUGCGCAGGAGAAGGUGAACCGCGAAAAAUGGCGUCUGGCCGAGGCGAAGCGCAUCAAGGAAUCGACGCUGCAGUCCCUCGAGCCGGACAUUGUGCUGCUGCUGAAUCGGCACAAGGCCGAAAAGGCGCGUCUGCGCGAGGAGUACGAAAACGAGCUGCGCCAGCGUGACGAGGCCAUUGCCGCCAAAGAUGCCUCCUUAGAGGAGUUGAAGUCGAAACUGCGGCGUGAGGCAGAUGAGCUGCUCAGCCGCGAGCAGGAAGCUGUGCGAAAUCGCCUCCGCGACGAAAGCGAGCGCAUUCAUCGACAACUCGAGGAGGAGCGCCGUCUUGAGCAGCAAAGGCGCGAGCAGCUGGAGCACCACUAUGAGGAUCAGAAGCGUACGCUGCAGCGAGAGAUCGAGCGACUUGGGAAGGAGGUGCUGCGCCUGCAGAGCGAGCAGACAUCGGAGCAGGCCUCCUUCCACGAGGCGGUGACCAGUGAGGUGGCGCGCGUGACAGGCGAGGUGAACGAACGCAUGAAGUGUCUAAAGGAGAAGCUGAUGCUUGAGUUCGCGGACCGCGAGAAGGAUGCAAAGGAGGAAAACCAGCGCUAUUUGCAAUCAAAGGAGGCGGAGAUGCGCAAGAAAUGCGAGCUAGAGCGCGAUGCGGCGGUGACCAAGGUGGUGCAGCGGCUCGAGGAGGAGCACCUGCGCGCCUUGGAGUCUGCUCGGGGCAGUGAUGGAAUGCUGCGGGAACGCUACAUCCAAGUUACGCGUGAGAAGGAGCGACUGCAGGUGGAGCUUGACCUUGUCCAGGAGCAGCUAAGCACCGCCCUCGAGGCCAACCGCAGCAAAGCCGAGGAGCUGCAGAGAAUUCAGGACAUGGCGAACCUGUCGGAGCAGCACAUAAGCGCCAUCGAGGACAAGGUGCGCUCCGAGUACACGAAGCGCAUGAGCAUCCUGGACCACGAAUGGCAGAAGAAGCUUCACGAGCUCGAGACCCAGCACGUAAAGGAGGUAUGGGAGCUACAGCAGCGCCACGGCGCCGCGACACAGGAAGUGGCUCGCCUGAGGUCCGAUUUUGAGAUGGAGAAGAAGACUUUGGAGCAGCGCCACCACGCGGAGCUGAGUCAGAUCAACGAGCGCAUCCUCGUGGCAAUCACGAAGAAGGAGAACACGAUCCGUCACCAGUCGGAGCAGCUGCUGAGCUUGCAGGAGGCUGUCAGUGUGCGGGACCAGGAGCUGCAGCGGCAUCGCCAGCUGCUCUUGUGAUGCGGAGAGUACAAAGAUGGCAUAGAAUCCUCUGCUGAUACCCCGGUGCAGUGACGGCUAUGCAUGAUGCUUGCGCAGGAGUCACAAAGCCGGGCUGAUGCUGUGCUCUUGGUGGUUGUGAGAAUAUGCCGAUUGCCGCCUCUUUUGAUGCGCAUGGGCGGCUGGCAAUUUGAAACAGCUUGCAGCGACAUCAUCAAGAGGGAAAGAAAGAAACAAGAGGGCUAGCACGCUUGGCAACUACCGUCGCCCCCUUGGUGUGCGCAUGUGUGCGUUGUGUAUGCUUGGUUGCCCAGAUGUGAGGCGGGUAAGUGUGGCUAGCCUCCAAUGUCGACGUUGGCAUUGGAUACGCCGUACACCAUGGGGAGCGAAACAGCUUUUUUUUUAGUGUCUCUCGUUGCACUCUACUACCCUUGAUGACGAGGGGGAAACCUCACCGUUGCACCUCAGGGUCCAGCACAUCCACUAUGUGUGUGUGUGUGUGGAGGCCAAGCAGCACCCCCUAUCCCUGCCAAUGCCGAGCCACUUGCGGUGGUGACGCGGGGCCAGGCACCCGCGACGUGGUGGUGCCAGAGCGCUUCAUCGCUGCUCAUGCCGGCAGCCAUGUCGUGGACGGCGUUGCGUCGGAGCGGCCUGCGACAGCGAGCACGCGUGUGCCAUCCAUGUGGUGGGCAGCGUGUCAGCGCGACUCGAACGUGCCCCGCCCGGCCCUCGCACUGCCUACUGGUGGUGGGCAACCUGCGUGCCACCGCGAGGGAUGCACCAGGGAUGGCGACUGGCAUGGUGUGAGCCGCUGUGAGGCGACAUGCGAGGCGGCGGAUCGGUAGGUCUCGAGGCGGUGCUGAGCCGACGGAGUCGGUGCACUGCUGCACUGGCGCGUGUCUACGGCUGCUUUGCACCACGAGAUGGGUCUGUGACUGGCCGGGGGCAGCAGAGUGGCGUUGGGCUCCUGCUGCGCGGCAGAGAAUGGACACACACGUGUGGAAGACAUAAGGUUUCCAUUGUUUUUUUUUUUGCUGGACCAAAUGCAGACUCGAGGGCGGCACAAUCACAUUGCUCUCGGGCUCACAUCUUCUGCUACAUCGUUGGCUUUCGUGUCUCUGUCUUUUCAUCUCGCUCCUCUGCAUCGCUGCCUGCGACGUAG
rnacentral:misc_RNA from 1 species